rnacentral:rRNA from 1 species
AAAUUGAAGAGUUUGAUCAUGGCUCAGAUUGAACGCUGGCGGCAGGCCUAACACAUGCAAGUCGAACGGUAACAGGAAGCGCUUGCUGCUUCGCUGACGAGUGGCGGACGGGUGAGUAAUGUCUGGGAAACUGCCUGAUGGAGGGGGAUAACUACUGGAAACGGUAGCUAAUACCGCAUAACGUCGCAAGACCAAAGAGGGGGACCUUCGGGCCUCUUGCCAUCGGAUGUGCCCAGAUGGGAUUAGCUUGUUGGUGGGGUAACGGCUCACCAAGGCGACGAUCCC